rnacentral:rRNA from 1 species
CCCUUAGAUGUUCUGAGCUGCACGCGCGCUACACUGAUGCGAUCAACAAGUUUUUCCUAUGUCGAUAGACACGGGUAAUCUUUUGAACUCGCAUCGUGAUGGGGAUAGAUUAUUGUAAUUACUAAUCUUCAACGAGGAAUUCCUAGUAGGUGCAAAUCAUCAGUUUGCAUCGAUUACGUCCCUGCCCUUUGUACACACCGCCCGUCGCUGCUACCGAUUGGUUGAUCUGGUGAAUUAUUCGGACUGCCGGCUGAAGGGGUUUCCUCAUCUGCCAGCGGAAAGUCUUGUUAACCCUAUCAACUAGAGGAAGCAGAAGUCGUAACA